GGAGAGAUAGGAAGGAAGAAAGGAAGAGAGAAAGGAGAGGAAGAGGAGAGGAGAUAAUAGAGAGAGUUAUCUUUGUACUCUUAUUAUUCUAAAUUAUAAUGAAAGCACCACUACUGCCCCGAGGACGUACUCCAGUCACAUUGACUGUAGAGGAACCUCGUAAAUUUUGUGUCUUGUUUCAUUUAUUCCACUGCACCCACCGUCGAUUUUAUAACACGUUAUCAGCACGAGAAGCUCUCAUGUCAGUGGAAAGCACAACGCCAUAAAUCCGGUGAAGCAUUACCUACCUCCCACCUUUGCUAGCUAAAAAUCUCAUAGAAUAAAAGGUAUGUCCAUUUUCAUCUCUCCCACCGCGCCUGAAGCGCCCCAUCGAAUUCCGGUGAGAAUUGAAAUUUAUGACCUGUAGUCGUCACGAGAUAAGAAAACUCGUACCAGACAACUGGUUUCUAGAAAUCCAGAAGAAUCUCAUCAGACUUGGAAACCCAUAUCACAUCGUUUUUUACGGAUCUCGAGAACUCCCAUGAAUGUUCGGUUGUCUAAGAUGGUGAUGGCAAGACUGACUCCACUUAAGCCUCCCUCUCUUGUGCCUCCGUCAACCCCACUGUCAUCUAUGUCUCUGUAGGGAGGUUCUUACUUUGCGAUGUCAUGUUCUCUGGGCCAUGCAAGAACAACGCCAGUCUUUGGUAGCCUUUUUGGAUUGAAUUGGUUUUGUGUGACCUCCACAACAACCCAGCUGGCUCUGGAUUUUGAGACUGGUAAAGACAGACAAAGAAGAAAAAGGAUUGGAAAGGUGGAAUUUUGGUGUAUGAUGUUGAGACAAAAGGAGAAAAUGACAAAGGUUUCUAAUGAUGCAUUGCACCAUCUAAAUAAUAAAAUAAAAAUAAAAAAGGGGAAAUGGGGCCAUUUUGGAAUGGUGUGUAGCAUCAUGUGAAAAAGGAAUAAAAGCAAAGUUCUUGAAUGGUGCACGGCACCAUGUGAAAAAAAUGAAUAAGAAAAUAAUAAAAUAAAAUAAAGGUAAAAGUUUUUGGAGGGUGUUACACCAUCUGAAAAGAAAGAAGAAAAAAAAAUAUAUAUAUAUUUAUUUAUGUGAAUGGUGUUGGCUUAAAACACUUUCACAAGUUCUAUUUAUUUAAAGCAAUUUAUUUACAGUGGGUAGAAUUAUUACCCUUUGCUUUAAAGCUUUGAUAUUUAUGUGCAUGGUGUUGGUUUAAAGCUCAUGUCACAAGUUCUAUUUACUUUAAAGCAAUUUAUUUAUCAUGGACGGUUUUACCACCUACUGCUUUAAGUUUUGAUUUAUGUGAAUGUUGUUGGUUUAAAAUCUUUUCACAAGUUCUAUUUACUUUAAAGCAAUUUAUUUACCCUGGAUCGUUUUACCGCCUACUGCUUUAAGUUUUGAUUUAUGUGAAUGGUGCUGAAUUAAAGCCCUUGUCACAAGCUUUAUUUACUUAAAUGUAAUUUAUUUACUAUGGCUGGAAUUACCGCCUAUUGCUUUAAUUUAUUUAUUAUACUUAUUUUUGUUACGAUAAGUACAUACUGGACCUGAAGUUUCUUGAUCAGAUCAGAACCUGUAGUUUCUUGAUCCUCAUCAUAUAAAAUGAUUGGACCCGAAGUUCCAUCAUACAAAAAAGAUCAGGCAUGAAGUCCUUGAUCCUGAAGAUCAGGACAUGAAAUUCCUUGAUGAGUAUCGUAAGUGUGAAGUGCCGCAAUGCCUCAACUUAAUUGUAAUAAAAGUCAUAAGAGUCUCGAUCUACAUACUAUUUAAUAAGGACCAGAAGUUCCUUUUGUCCAUACUCAAAAUGGUUUAGCAGAAGCAUUUAUUAAGCGGAUGAAAUUGAUUACCCGCGCUCUGCUCAUGAAAACGAAAUUGCCAGUUUUGACAUGGGGACAUGUCAUUUUACAUAAUUCAUUAUUAAGUUUGGUUGAGGCCAGUUGCCAACCAUCAAUAUUUCUCAGUACAACUCGUAUUUAGGCACCAGCCAAACAUUAACAUUUACGAGUUUUUGGUUGUGUUAUCUAUGUGCCUGUAAGACUGCCACAACGUACUAAAAUAAGGCAUCAAUACAAACUGGUAAUUUAUGUUGAAUUCGAUCCACCAUCUAUUAUUCAACAUUUGGAACCCUUGACUGGGGAUAUAUUUACCGCAUGAUUUGCGGACUAUGAUUUUGAUAAGACAGUUUUCCCGCCAUUAAGGGGAGAAAAUAACAUUGUUCCAGAAGAACGAUGAGAAAAUAUCAUUCUAGAAGAAUAAUAAGAAAAGACCGUUCCAGAAGAACGAAGAGAAAGAGAAUUUGUUUUAUUUUGAUUCACGAAGCAAUCAAUAUGAAAAUGAAGUAAGAAUAAUUGAAUGAUGCAACGAAAAUGAUGAAAUCAUAUAUACUUGCUGCAAAUGUGACUACAAGAAUUGAUGUCCCUGUUGGACAAAAUAAUAUGGCAGUAAAUGAUUUAUCUGUUGCACGCCUGAAGCGUGGCAGACCCUUAGACUCAAAAGGUUCAUUCAUUCGAAAGAAGAAGAAUAUGGCACUACUAAACUAUUGCAUUCCCGAAGCAUAAAUGUUGCUUGCUAGAAGCAUGACAGUCGCCGUAUGGAUAUACGUCCCAGAAAGGACAAUCCGCGGACAUGGGAAUGUUGAUGUCUCAUGCAUGGAGCAUGAUAGACAUAUAGGUUCCAAUGACUCAACUCCUGGAAGUGGAGAUUAAAAUCCAAGCUCUAUAAUGCUCUAGAAGAGGUUAUGAUCCGCAUUCUCUAAAUUACGACUAUCCUGAAAGAGAUAGUGUAAUGCCCUUGAAUAGGCAAUGGAUAUCCAAAGAAAUAAAAAGCUUUUAUGCAUGCGCAUGCACAUGAGAAUAUGAGAUCACAGAUUGAUGAUAACCAAUGGUAAUUUUGGUUUUUAUAAAUAGCUACUAAAUUCAUCAAUGAGCUGUGUUGAUACUGAAUCUCGUUCUUUUUUGUCAACAAAAUUAUUGGCCAAAAUGGAGAAAGGCAAUUCCAUUACAAUUUUGUAAGAACGUGGAAAAAUGGACAUAUAUAUUUGAAAAAUAAUACAAAUAGCCAAAAAGAUGUUGAACCAAAGAGGUUACAUUGGGCAUUUGUUAUACAGUGAAAUACACUCACAUGAUAUGACACAAGGUAUUGAAACCUGAAAUUAUACUCUUGUAAAUGAGUUCAUAUGAAUGGAGAAUUAUAUAUGAAGGGUUGUGAGUCACCCACAUCAUAUCUCCAUAAGUAAAUCCCUCAAGUAUACAUGGGAGCAAAUUGCUCUGUAUAAAUUCCAAAGGAAAAUGUGUCAUGAAGUGUAGAAAAUCCCUGAAGGAUUCAAAUUGCUUGAAAUAAGCCCCCAAAGGGUAAAGCAUAAAUUAUGUACUCAAUACCAAUGGAUAGUAUAAAUUGCCUUAGUGAGUACUAUCAUUAUGAUAUUGUUGCAACAUACUAAAAUCUAUUGCAAGAGUCAAUGACAUUAAAUUAGAAUUCCUGAAGAGUUAAUGAUAUUAAAUUAGGACUCCUGAAGAGUCAAGAAAGAUUAUAAAGUGUUGAGAGAAAUAUUGUCUCGAGCUGCAGAUCGAACAAUCUACCAACAUGAAUCUUAUCCAUGAUGUCUAUGAUAUUGAAAGAACUAUAUGGAUUGAAGAUUAUGAGUUGAAUACUUAAAUGAUGUAGACACUAAGAAAGAUCAUUUAUCUUAUUGAGGGUAAAGAUAAAUUAAUGUUUGGUCCAGAAGUACCACAUCUUAGUGAAGUAUAUGCUUUAUUGUAUUUGGCACAAUACACUGAAUGAAAUAAAGCUUAUCUAUUAAUAUCUCCGAGAAAUUACAGAUAUGUGCAUACACAUGAGUUAAAACAAACAAACAGGAUGGAGCCUUCACAAAGGUUGCUCAUGUGAAGUCUCAGUACUCGGAAGUACCGCAUAAUGAGGAGGCACUGGAGAUUGAUCGUGUGGCACCCCAGUACUUGGCACAACACCAGAAGGGGAAGGCAUCAGUUGCUUUCGAAAUCUAGCAACGAACCUUUGGUGAUCACCUUGAAUCCGACUUUCAGAUUCUUGCAGCUAGUCGAGCUUUCUUUUCAUUCUCGUAGAGUAAUUAUUUGCAAGCACAUGUAACACUCUAUUCUCGUGCUUAAGCCUUUUGAUCUCUUGUUUAAGACUUGCCACCUCAGCCAUCAAUGAUUCAACUUGGCGAGUUUGAGCAAGUAAGCGUUGACCCAUAUUGGAUACAGAGCCCGCACAUUGAACACUGAGAGCCAAUGAGUCUUGAACGGCCAACUCGUUAGACUGUUUUGAAAUGAUUCUGUUAUCCUUUGGAGUGAGAAGAUUCCUAGCUACCAUAGUAACGGUUAUCACAGAGUCCCCAACUGUAAGAGGACCAUUAGAAGAUAAGAAGGACGAGAGCCAUAUGUUAUCCUGACGUUGCUCGUCUGUAUCACUCCUAAGACUCAAAUAUAAGCAAAUGUUAGAUGGGCAAGUCAUUUUCAGAAAUGAUGAAGGAAAAAAGGAGGUUAAAUAAAAUCUCAGAAGUACAAGAAGGGGAAAAUUUCUAUAGGCAGCAACUUUCUGAGCAUACUUUUGAACACAAUUGAUGUCUCUAUAAAAGAAGAGGCAACAGAGCCACUUGUUCAGAGAUUGAAGCAGAGACACUUGUUCAGAGAUCGAAAAGGCACCGCUUUCUGAAUUUCAAAAGCCAGAUUUUCCUAAAUAAAGUUCGUUGGCAUUUUUCAGACUCAAUCUCAGCUUUUUCUGCUAUCGCGUGCAACUUUGUCAAAGAUCUCUGACAAAGUUGAAAACGCGUAAAUCUUACUGUUCUAAUUACACCACAAUUGCUGACAAGAGUAAAGGCACAACACCACUACCUGCUAUUGGAGAAAUCCCUAUAUAUGUCGACCUUCAUCGUCCAUAGCAAGGCACAUAUCCAAAACUCCUAACUUUCUCUCAUCUCAGAGAAUGCAUCUUCAACAAAGCAUCUCGAAAUACUCAGUUUUCUUCCUUUCCGAGGAUACCUCUUCAAAACAAGUCACACCAGAGCAAGAGUAUCUUAUAUCUUCAGGGACGAGAGCAAGAGUAUCUCAUAUUAUGCAAUCUCCAUGUCCUUUCCUUUGUCCUUGUUCUUACCUGCAAAGACAAGGAUAAAGAAAGCAAUAUGUCGGAACCUCCACUCCAACUCUCGGUAAGGAACCGACUGCCUGGAACCUUUCCUUAUUGCUUACCUAGUAUUGCUCUCGAGUAGCCAUCUUCAACUGUUGUGGAAGCUGGGUCUUCAGUCACCAAGAAGUGAUGAACCAUCCAAAUGCAAGGGUUGCAUUCCACUCUUGCAUCAGAAGGCAAAUACUGCAGGAGAAUAUGCCACACAUGCAUGAGGGAAAACCAGGGAAAAUACUACUUAAGCAAGGGGAGCAAGUAUGGCAGGUGACAAUGAUACAUUGAAGUAUAUGGAGACAAACGCAACAAACACGUGCUGAUUCAUCCCCGACAAAACCGAAGAUCACUUGUCACGUGAAGCUCCUCAUGGUCCAAUUUCAUUCAAGAUCAAACCUCGAAGCCCUUGAAGAAAUCACAAGUCCGAUUCAAGAUCAAGUGUCCACCACCCUUGAAUCAAAUUCCGCUCCAGAUAAAAGGAGUAAAUUCAGACCUUUGGGGUAAGUCUAGCAGAAGGCCAUCCAGCCCAGUUUAAGAACAAGCCUGUGGAAAGUUAACAACAAGUAAAACACCUCUUUCGGCAACUCUUCUUACUAAGAGACUGAAGCAAAAUGAUCAACGAUCAGCCUAAAUGAUUUGAAAUCAGGGGGAGAUACUCAUCAGGGGGAGCAUCCAAAACAGAUCAAGAUUUUAACGAAUCAAUCGAAGACUUGUGGCCAUCCAAGGGGGAGUGUUCUGAAUAAUAUGUGGAUGGCCCACAUGAAUAGUCUGUUACUAUUUAUGCACAGUAUUUUCACUAUUCAUUUGUGGAAAUUUUGUAAAGUGAAUAGUGUUGCUAAAGUAACUUUUUCCUAUAAAAUGAAAGUAUGGGAAGAAGAGAAGAAGUGAGUGAGUGACUCACGGAGAGAUAGGAAGGAAGAAAGGAAGAGAGAAAGGAGAGGAAGAGGAGAGAAGAUAAUAGAGAGAGUUAUAGAUAAUAGAGAGAAUUAUCUUUGUACUCCUAUUAUUCUAAAUUAUAAUGAAAGCACCAUUACUGCCCCGAUGACGUACUCCAGUCACACUGACUGUAGAGGAACCUCGUAAAUUUUGUGUCUUGUUUCAUUUAUUCCCCUGCACCCACCGUCGAUUUUA
rnacentral:lncRNA from 1 species